rnacentral:rRNA from 1 species
UUCUUUAAGAAAUAAUUUAAAGUAAAACCUGCUCAAUGUUAAAAUAUAAAUAGCCGCAGUUUACUGUGCUAAGGUAGCAUAAUCAUUAGCUUUAUAAUUAAAAGAUAGAAUGAAUGGUUAUAUGAAUGACAAUAUGUUUCUAAAAUAUUUAAUAAAUUUAAAAUAAAAGUAAAAAUUCUUUUAAAACUAAGAAAGACGAUAAGACCCUAAUAAACUUUUCAUUUAGCUGGGGCGGCACUAUAAAAACACCUUAUAUUAUAUAGAAAAAAUUCUAAUAAAAUUAAUUUAUCAAGUUACUAUAGGGAUAACAGCGCAAUCUUUUUUCAAAGUUCUAAUAAAAAAAAAGACUUACGACCUCGAUGUUGAAUUAAUAAUCUUUUCAUUUAACGCAAAAGUUAUAAUAGAUAGUCUGUUCGACUAUUAAACAAUU